AGGAUUAACGCUGGCGGCGUGCAUGAAACAUGCAAGUCGAGCGCGGCGCGUGGCUUCGGUCACGCGUCUAGCGGCGCACGGGUGAGUAACACGUGAGCAACCUACCUUCGAGUUCGGGAUAGCCCUGGGAAACCAGGAUUAAUACCGGAUGUGGUCACAACGGGACAUCCCGAUGUGAAAAAAGGCGUAAGCCGCUCGAUGACGGGCUCGCGGCCUAUUAGCUUGUUGGUGGGGUAACGGCCUACCAAGGCGACGAUGGGUAGCUGGUCUGAGAGGACGAUCAGCCACACUGGGACUGAGACACGGCCCAGACUCCUACGGGAGGCAGCAGUUAGGAAUUUUCCGCAAUGGGCGAAAGCCUGACGGAGCAACGCCGCGUGUGUGAUGAAGGCCUUCGGGUUGUAAGCACUGUCGGAGGGGAAGAAUGAAUGACGGUACCCUCCAAGAAAGCCCGGCUAACUACGCGCCAGCAGCCGC
rnacentral:rRNA from 1 species